UACGGAGGGUGCAAGCGUUAUCCGGAUUCACUGGGUUUAAAGGGUGCGUAGGUGGGUUGGUAAGUCAGUGGUGAAAUCUCCGAGCUUAACUUGGAAACUGCCAUUGAUACUAUCAGUCUUGAAUACCGUGGGGGUCAGCGGAAUAUGUCAUGUAGCGGUGAAAUGCUUAGAUAUGACAUAGAACACCAAUUGCGAAGGCAGCUGGCUACACGAAUAUUGACACUGAGGCACGAAAGCGUGGGGAUCAAACAGG
rnacentral:rRNA from 1 species